rnacentral:lncRNA from 1 species
GCACGGCCGCGUGCUUGGAAGAUCUGGUUGAUUGAAUGCGCUGUUGCUGCCAGCCUCGCAUUGGCGCGCAUGCUCAUGUGCCCCCGCCCUGUUCUUAUUUGCCGCCUUGCAGGAGAAGAAGCUGCAGCUGUACAACUUCGACGGCGUCAAGGAGCGCGAGUGGGUGCUGGACAGCGUCAUCCGCUACAUCAAGGUGGUGGGCGGGCCACCCCGCCGCGAGGGCCUGCUGGUGGGCCUCAAGAGCGGCGCCAUCCUCAAAAUCUUUGUGGACAACCCCUUCCCCAUCCCGCUCAUCAAGCACACCGCCUCGGUGCGCUGCCUGGACCUGUCGGCCAGCCGCAACAAGCUGGCGGUGGUGGACGAGAACGCCAAGGUGCUGGUGUACAAUCUGAUCACCAAGGAGCUGGUGUUCGAGGAGAGCAAUGCCAACAGCGUGGCCUGGAACAGCGAGUUCGAGGACAUGUUCUGCUACAGCGGCAACGGCAUGCUGUCCAUCAAGACCGGCGACUUCCCGCUGCACCAGCAGAAGCUGCAGGGCUUCGUGGUGGGCUUCAAGGGCAGCAAGAUCUUCUGCCUGCACUACGUGUCCAUGCAGACCAUCGACGUGCCGCAGUCCGCCUCCAUGUACCGCUACCUGGAGCGCAAGGACUUCGAGUCCGCCUACCGCGUGGCGUGCCUGGGCGUCACCGAGGCCGACUGGAAGCAGCUGGCGCUGGAGGCGCUGCAGGCGCUGAACCUGGAGGUGGCGCGCAAGGCCUUCAUCCGCAUCCGCGACGUGCGCUUCGUGGAGCUGGUCAACCGCACCGAGGCGGGCCGCAAGGCCGGCACCAGCGAGCAGCUGCUGCUGGCGGAGAUCAUGGCCUUCCAGGGCCGCUACCAGGAGGCGGCGCGCCUGUUCACGCAGGCGGGCGCCGUGGACCGAGCCAUGGAGAUGUUCUCUGACCUGCGCCAGUUCGAUGAGGCCAAGAAGUGGGCGGAGGAGUUCGCGGCCAGUGGGCGCGGCGACCAGCGCAGCGUGCAGGAGCUCAUCAACCGCCAGGCGGAGUGGAGCGAGGAGGUCAAAAACUACGACGCCGCAGCGGAGAUGUACAUUAAGGUGCGGCAGCUGGGGGGACUGGCAAAGGGAUGGAAUUCAUGGGACAGUGGAGCCCUUCUCGAGUAUGUUGGGUUGUAGGCCGAUCGAGUCUAUCUCCCUCACCUUUGUUCCCUUCGUGACGCUUAACCCGCACGCACCUCUACAGGCCAAGAAGUACGACCGCGCCAUUGCCAUCCUGGCCAAGCACCAGUGGUGGGACAAGCUCAUUGGUGUGGUGCGACAGCUGGACAAGACGGACGCGCGCUGCCUGGGCAUGUGCGCCGGCCACUUCCGCCGCGCGCCGCACUUUGCGUACGCCAAGGAGACGCUGCUCAAAAUGGACGACACCAAGGUGGGCGCUGGGGGCGCAAUCAACGGGUAUGAACGCGCACCGACCGCCGAAUGUUCAGCCGGGUCACUGACUAAUGCCUUGGUGCUACCCACCUGCCCUGCCGCAAAUCGUCCCCGCAGGGCCUGAUCACGCUGUACGUGGAGGCUGAGAAGUGGGAUGACGCCUUCCUGCUGCUGCACGCGCACCCCGAGUGCCGGCAGGACGUGUACCUGCCCUACGCCAAGUGGCUCAGCAACCAGGACCGCUUCGAUGAGGCGCGGCUGGCGUACCAGGAGGGCGGCUUUCCCAGCCUGGCCACCCGCAUCCUGGAGCAGUUGUGCGCCAACGCGGUGGUAGAGACGCGGUACGCGGACGCCGCCUUCUACUACUAUCAGCUGGCCAUGGAGGCGCUCAAGGUGGGUGAGGCGCUACAGUAGGGAGGUAGAGGGAGGCACCCGCGCAUGCCCGGUGCUCAUGAGGUUACCCGUCCGCGCUGUCCGUUCCUCUCCCGCCUCAUCAAACAACACACCCAUCCCUUCGGACCUGCGCCCGCCGUGUCCCCACAGAGCAUCAAGAACCCGCCCUCCAACAUGGCGCCCUCGGACCGCUCCGCGCUGGAGCGCUUCACGGAGCUGUACGACCGCGCCGAGGUGUACUACGCCUACGAAGUGGUGCACAAGUCCGUGCACUCGCCCUUCCGCACCACGCACCCCGACACGCUCUUCAACGCCUCGCGCUUCCUGCUCAUGCGCCUGCUGCCGCCGCGCGAGGUGCCGCUGGGCGUCAGCGUGGUCAACGUGGUGUACGUGCUGGCCAAGCAGGUGAGGACGGACAGGUGCAGGCAGGAUGCAGGGGCUCAUGGUGGAGCGUGGGGCGGGGCAAGCCGAGGGUGGGCCCGAGCAUCUGCCUGUGUUCUCCCUGAAUUGUCAAUUGACUGAAAUCCCUUGCCGUCGAUCUUGCCCUGCACCCAGGCUGUCGAGGCGGGCGCCUUCAAGCUGGCGCGCUUCGCGUACAACAAGCUGCAGACGCUGGUGCUGCCGGCGGCCUGGCAGGCGGAGGUGGACCUGGCAUCCGUGGUCAUCCGCUCCAAGUGAGUGCAGGGCCUGGGCCGGAGGGGAAGUAGCCUGGUUGGGGGCAAGCACAGGGCAAGGCGGGGUUGGGGGAUGAGGCGGCAGGGGGCCCUGCAGUACCGACCGUACCAGCGCUCAAGUUGCCCACCGCUCCUGCUUGCCCUGCCCCUCUGUCACAGGCCUUUCUCAGACAAGGAGGACCUGCUACCGGUGUGCUGGCGCUGCUCCACCACCAACCCGCUGCUCAACACGCAGGGCGACUACUGCAUCAACUGCGGCGCGCCCUUCAUCCGCUCCUUCGUCACCUUCGAGCACCUGCCCGUGGUGGAGUUUGAGCUGGAGCCGGGCGUGGACGACGAGGAGGCGGGCCGCCUGCUGGGCGAGGACGCGGGCAUGGAGGCGGCGCGGCGCGAGCGCAAGGCGGAGCGGCAGGCCAAGGCGGCGGAGGUGGGCGGCAACAUGCUGCGGCUGGACCAGAACGAGAUCGACCGCAUGGACGACGCCUUCGCGGCCCAGAUGAUGGUGCCCAACACCACCAUCCGCGUGGACCGGGCCAUGCUGCGGCGGCUCAAGACGGCCGAGGUCAUGGUGCGCACCUGGCCCAACCCCGUCAUCCCCAAGCAGUACUUCCGCGUCAUGGACCAGGAGGUGCCGCUGUGCUGCGGACCCUGCGGACACUUCUUCGAGCAGGUGCGUGCCGAGAUAAGCGGCUAGGAGUACAUCAGUACUGGUGCUUGGCAAAGCGGGUGAAAAUGGGGGUGCUUGCAGAAAUUGUUCACACGGGCAAUCUUCACUUACAGUGCACGUUACUCUUUUUGUGCGCACUGUCGCUCACACCUGUCCGCUUGCGCCCUUCCCUCUGCACAGGAUGAGUUCGAGAUGGCGGCGCUGGAGCGUGGCACGGCGCCCUUCAGCCGCACCACCGUGCGCGGCGAGGGCCUGGCGCCGGGCGAGGACGCCGAGGAUGAGGGUGCCGGCGGCAACAAGCUGGGCGGGCCGUUGGGCAGCGCGCGUGGGCCCAUUGGGGGCGCCAGCAAGGCGCGCAUGUCCGUGCCCUUCCAGCAGGGCCGGCCGCUGGUGUGAGCGGGGUCGCCUAUCGGGCGCUUACCGGGUGCGUGGGUGGAUUCCGGAUGUAGGCGGGGAAUAGGAGCUGCCGGUAGUGGCGUUGCAGCAGGCCUUCGUUACGCAGCAGAGGGGGCACGAGGAGGACGUGAACGGGUGUCUUCAUGCUGCUUGUGGUCUGACUUGGUAGGACGGGCGUUGGUGCCAUCAUUAGGCUGCCCCUGCCGGUCCACCAUAGGAGCUGCGAUGGGCCUGAAGCAAGGCCCAUGCACGGUGGCCGGGCACAUGAUGCAUGACGGGACAGAGCACGGGACUUGCUGGAACCAGUGUACAUAUGCCCGCGCAGAGACUGCGUGUCUCGAAGCGGGCACAAAUUGGGACAUGUCGGCGUACAGACAAACGAUGAUGAUGACAGGAUGACAGUUGUUGUGCGGCAGGGGGGCUCCCAAGCCCAGUUGAGGCCCAGGCAGGUUUGGUUGAAUGGGGAUGCACAGUGGCAGUGCUAAUGCGCUGGCGCUAUGAGCGUCCAUGGUGUUGGCGGCCUCAAGUACAAGACACCUUAUAGUAGUUCAAUCUGCCCCGCAAGGUCUUCCCGUGCUGCUGAACCUGGCUAGCACGGUUUCCGGAGUCCGGGCCACUGAGGUCCGUAUCCUUCGCUGGGUCAGGGGAGGCGCUAGUGCAGCCAAGGUGCUACUGUGGUAACUGUGCUCUCCGCAGUGUCCGCACACUGCUGCACAGAGUGGCAGAGGCACAGCGCCACAGCCGCGCAAUUGCGUCAAGCCGUUUUAGUUCUCGGCCGUCUUUGAGGGGAUAAGGAGGAGCGUUGGCUAUGCAGCACAGCACAAAGGCAACCGGGGAGCAAACAAUUACUAACAACUGCUGCUGUUGUUACUUCAGGCUGUGGGUUGAAUUGUGGAUGCCGCGGCGCCGCCGACAUGCCGGGCUCACGGACCGGCCACAUGCUGGAACCCGUUUGCCGAGGCGUCAGAGCUGUGCAAGAGGCGGCCAGGCGAACAACUAGAGGCUGGCCGUAAAGCUGGGCCGCUGGUAGUUGACGGGGCACAGUGCCUGUUUCCGUGCCUGUUUCCAGCUUGCGUUUCCUGUUAUGAACCCGUAUGUACCGGGGAUGCCCCUCCCAGCGUGUGCGGGUCCCAUUGUCAUGUAGUGCUGUAUACCGCCAAUUGGGGCGAGGGAGGUUGCGCAAAAGCAGACAGGUAAGGGCUGGUGGCAAGGCGGGGGCUUGGCGCAAGGCUUGGCGUGGCCGAGGUGGCACUUCGGUCGCUUUUGAGCCGGUGACUGGUUACUGUACGCGGCCUGCUCUUUGCUCUCUCCACCGCUUUCAGGUUCAUCGCCCCGUGCCAGCUCGAGCCAGCUGCCCAGCUCAGCCUGGGUUGGGACAGGUUGGGAUCAUUGGUGUGAAAGUGCGAUUCGACUCGAUUGCGAAUACACCUCUCAGCGCAGG